UUAGACGAGAAGACCCUGUGGAGCUUUAGACACACAGGUGGACCAUGUCAAAUACCCCCAGCUAAGGGCCUGAACUAAAUGGAACCUGCCUUGAUGUCUUCGGUUGGGGCGACCAUGGGGAAUACAAAACCCCCACGUGGAAAGGGAGCACACCCCUAAGUUACUUCUUCUCCCGCAAGCCAGAGCAACAGCUCUAACAAGCAGAAAUUCUGACCAAACUGAUCCGGUAAAACCGAUCAACGAACCAAGUUACCCUAGGGAUAACAGCGCAAUCCCCUUUUAGAGCCCAUAUCGACAAGGGGGUUUACGACCUCGAUGUUGGAUCAGGACAUCAAG
rnacentral:rRNA from 1 species